UGCCCAAGAGAUCGGGAUAACACCUGGAAACAGAUGCUAAUACCGGAUAACAACAGAUGAUGCCUAUCAACUGUUUAAAAGAUGGUUCUGCUAUCACUCUUGGAUGGACCUGCGGUGCAUUAGCUAGUUGGUAGGGUAACGGCCUACCAAGGCGAUGAUGCAUAGCCGAGUUGAGAGACUGAUCGGCCACAUUGGGACUGAGACACGGCCCAAACUCCUACGGGAGGCAGCAGAG
rnacentral:rRNA from 1 species